UCCGGCAGGAGAGAAAGAGAGAAGACGCUGGGGAGAACUGGUUGUAGGAUACGACACAGUGGGGGACCCACUUGUUCGAGAUGGAUUGUGAGCGCCGUCUGGAAGGUGGUGUGUGCUUUCACGUUGACCAAGGGCCCAGUACGUGAGUGACAGAGAAGUUCAAGGAUCACAAAGCCCCAGACCGCGUGACAGGAGAAUUCCAGAGUGCCAAUUGGUGCCUCUUUUCCCAUCAACCAAGCCGCUCAGCAGUGUGAUGUGGAAGAUGAAUGCUACUCAGAAGAAGUCACCCACCCUGAGGGUGCACCAUUACACGUCAUCCACACCCGCUGCCUGCAUAUGCACACUGUGGUGGGUCUGAAAAGAGAGGUGCCCAAGCUGGUGAGCAAGAACAGAUGGUGCAAAUGGGGACAGCAAUGGCUCAGCAUUUUCCAAGCUCUGCAAUGGGAAUAUACUGCUAACCCUGCAGCAAAUAAUGCACUAGCAGGAGGAACGAAAUGUGCAUGAUUGCAGGGACAUUGGAAGAAUUCAUUUCAAGUUUUAAUGUAUUAAAUACAUACCAACAUGAUGACAUCUUUGACUAAGUUACAGACAACUGGGGUAUUAGAGGCAGCAAUCACUGAAAUGUGGCAAUCCCCUCACCAAAGAUAUCCACAUUGUUUUGAAUGGUUUACAGGAUACUCUGUACAAUAGUUAUUAUUGCACUUUUGUUCCCACUGCCAAUUUCCAUGAUGUUCAAUUGAAAUAAGAAAAUUAACAGAAUUUUCAAUAUAGCACUUCAAAUUCAGCCCAUGCAAUUAUUAAUUCUUUAAACAGUUGUCAUUCCAAUCAAUGAUCAUUUAGGAAAAAAGCUAUUAAGUAGUACUUCUUUUGUAUUCUUUUGAUUUUGCAGCAUUUUUUUUUGUUUCAAGUUACUAUGAUGGCACCACGAGAAUGAAGGCAGUGAAACCUGGUUUGGAGAUAUCAGUGAACGUAGGUGUAUGUAUGUUGUAUGUGAGACAAUCAGACAUACCGUCCUGAUGAACACAUAUCUUUGCAAUGCCAAACUUACUUACAAUUCAACAAACGGUUCUUUAAAACAUGUUUCUCUUUUUUUAUGACUGGCCCAAGGUAUGUAGCCCACGCUCGCAGUACCAGUAUUUAUUGUUCAAGUCUAAAUGCCACAGACCCACUAAGCUGUUUCAGAGAAAAUACGACAUUAUCAUGGAUCAAAUUCACAUGUAGAUGAAAGGAAUCAAGGGCAGUUCAACAUUG